rfam:Ovis aries breed Texel chromosome 6, whole genome shotgun sequence.
UGGCUCAGAUGGUAAAGCGUCUGCCUGGAAUGCGGGAGACCCGGGUUCGAUUCCUGG